rnacentral:lncRNA from 1 species
AAAAUAAAAUUUUAAAUCAUCACCAAAAAUUAAUCAGAUCUUAAGAUUAAUAUAAUAAAGAAGUGUGUAAAGUUUUAAGCAAUAAUCAUAAAUCGUUUUUGAGAUACAGCGCGACAUGUAAAACAAGAAUGUGUCCAUAGUACACGGAUGCCCCACUCCCACUAUCAUUUUCUAUGUUCAGUGGACCGUGAAAUUGGGGUCAAAACUUUAAUUUGGAAUUAAAAGUAGAAAGAUCAUAUCAUAGGGAACAUGUGUACUAAGUUUCAAGUUGAUGAAACUUUAACUUCAUCAAAAACUACCGUGACCAAAAACUUUAACCUGAACUUUGCACUAUCAUUUUUU